GAUGAACGCUGGCGGCGUGCCUAAUACAUGCAAGUCGAGCGAACAGAUCAGGGGCUUGCUCCUCUGACGUUAUCGGCGGACGGGUGAGUCACACGUGGAUAACCUACCUAUAAGACUGGGAUAACUUCGGGAAACCGGAGCUAAUACCGGAUAAUAUAUUGAACCGCAUGGUUCAAUAGUGAAAGACGGUUUUGCUGUCACUUAUAGAUGGCUCCGCGCCGCAUUAGCUAGUUGGUAAGGUAACGGCUUACCAAGGCAACGAGGCGUAGCCGACCUGAGAGGGUGAUCGCCCACGCUGGAACGGAGACACGGUCCAGAACCCUACGGGAGGCAGCAGUAGGGAAUCUUCCGCGAUGGGCGAAAGCGUGACGGAGCAACGCCGCGUGAGUGAUGAAGGUCUUCGGAUCGUAAAACUAUGUUAGUAGGGAGGAACAAAUGUGUAAGUAACUAUGAACGUCUUGACGGUACCUGAUCAGAAAGCCACGGCUAACUACGUG
rnacentral:rRNA from 1 species